GCUCAGGACGAACGCUGGCGGCGUGCCUAAUACAUGCAAGUCGAACGAGACUUUCAUUGGUGGUAACACCUUUGUCUGUCUAGUGGCGAACGGGUGAGUAACACGUGAGAAACCUGCCCUGAAGACGGGGAUAACAGAAGGAAACUUCUGCUAAUACCCGAUACCCCCACCGGAUCACAUGGUCUGAUGAGGAAAUGGAUUCCGCUUCAGGAGGGUCUCGCGGCCUAUCAGCUUGUUGGUGAGGUAACGGCUCACCAAGGCUUGGACGGGUAGCUGGUCUGAGAGGACGAUCAGCCACACUGGGACUGAGACACGGCCCAGACUCCUACGGGAGGCAGCAGUAAGGAAUAUUGCGCAAUGGGCGAAAGCCUGACGCAGCAACGCCGCGUGCGGGAUGAAGGCCCUCGGGUUGUAAACCGCUUUCAGUAGGGAAGAAAAUGACGGUACCUACAGAAGAAGCCCCGGCCAACUACGUGCCAGCAGCCGCGGUAACACGUAGGGGGCAAGCGUUGUCCGGAUUUAUUGGGCGUAAAGAGCUCGUAGGCGGUUUCGUAAGUCGGAUGUGAAAACUCCAGGCUCAACUUGGAGACGCCAUUCGAUACUGCGAUGACUUGAGUCCGGUAGGGGAGUGUGGAAUUCCUGGUGAAGCGGUGAAAUGCGCAGAUAUCAGGAGGAACACCGGCGGCGAAGGCGGCACUCUGGGCCGGUACUGACGCUGAGGAGCGAAAGCGUGGGUAGCAAACAGGAUUAGAUACCCUGGUAGUCCACGCCGUAAACGGUGGGCACUAGGUGUGGGAUUCACUCAACGGAUUCCGUGCCGCAGCUAACGCAUUAAGUGCCCCGCCUGGGGAGUACGGCCG
rnacentral:rRNA from 1 species